rnacentral:rRNA from 1 species
UACAGAGACUGCAAGCGUUAUUCGGAUUCACUGGGCGUAAAGGGUGCGCAGGCGGCCAGGUGUGUUAGGCGUGAAAGCCCGGGGCUUAACCCCGGAAUUGCACCUAAAACUACUUGGCUAGAGCAUUGGAGAGGGUAGCGGAAUUCACGGUGUAGCAGUGAAAUGCGUAGAGAUGCGGAGGAACACCGAUGGCGAAGGCAGCCCCCUGGGCUGACACAUGACGCCUCAGGCGACGAAAGCGUGGGGAGCAAACAGGG